CUCGCCGCCUGGCGGCCGGCCCAGAAACCUUCAACGCCCAGGUGGCGCUGCUGGAGCGGCAGGGCGUGUUCGGCUCGUGGCCAGUUACGGCCGAAGCGGCUGCGCGUCGGCGCAGGGUCGGCACGUUCGUCGAGGAGCUCGACUGCUCUUGGACACACGGCCAAAGAAACGGAAGCGUCUGCUGAAGAAUCACGCGGUCUUCGGAGUUGUCACUAUUCGACGUCAUUGUACCGGGUGGAUGAAACCGCUGAAACCUUUGAUUCUCCCCCAAGAAGCUAAUAUUUCAGGUGCCACGAGGACAGAAGUAGUGAAGAAGGGACUGAUGUGAGUGGGUUACUCUGGACCCGUUCAACAUCAAGACCGAUUGAUCGACGGCGAAUGCGGGUCAUGCUUAGCCACCUGUCUCCUCGCUUACACAAACACCAUCUCGGCCUUAGGUCCCGGAGCGAGCUGGCGUCUAUGGACCGUGUAUUGUUUGCAUAACUCCUCAAUGCUGCGUUUCGCGGCCAGAGCUUGUUUGACAACUUACUUCUGUUGCAUACCGAUAGCGCACGAACGCCCGACCCUGGCACAAGGCAUGCGUAUGAGUGAUGAUGGACCUGCGUUGUGAAGAGCUAGACGCGGCCUGGGACGUGCCGCCCUUGGUUGGGGCCGGGGGUGGCGCCACUAAUUUUUGGUAGGGGUGGGGACGAGGUUGCAAAACCACCACAGCAUUUGCAUUAACAGAAAAGAAUGAGAGAGCAUGUGCUUGAUACCGGCUUUUUGUAGACAUUGACUGUGCUCGGCCAGUAUAGGAGAAUAUCGCCGGGCGGUCUGUUGGAGUCCUAGAAAAUCGCACUAGCUUGGUGACAGUGCAGCCCUUCCGAUGUGAGGUAACUUCAUUAUGGUAAAAGUUAGGGAUAUGGGCCCUGCGUGAAGACCUAUGAGCAAUGUAUUUUGUCCUGCAAGAAGACUGAUAGAAUAUGGGGACUGAUCUGCCUAUUCAACGCUAGAGGGGUGCCCUCCCCUCCCCCCCGUCUCCCAGUGGCACCGCCCCUGGUCGGGGCGGACGCGUAUGCGUAGCAAACUUACGGCUGUACAGACUUCCGCACAGUGCACGUUCUUUCCACCUUCCUGUCACUCUCAUGAUUUUACUUUAUCUCGAGCUUUCGUACUUUUAUCUUCCGAUGUUUCAGAGUUUGACACUGCUCAAUGGGCUUGCGACAAUGUGCAGACAAUCGGGGACAAGGUAAAUGCGUGAUGUGUAUUUAACGAAUGGUUUGACGUGCGCGACAACACUUGUCUUUACUGCAAAAUAUACGCGCUGAAGGAAGAUUUACGUGGAUCGUCUAGUUCGGCUAUUCAAACCAGUCAAAAUCCACGCCAUAUUUGGAUAAAAAACUGACAUUCCUCUCUGAUUCCUCUCGUAGCAAAAUAACAAAAAAGGGACUAUAAGCGAGUCUUACUACAAAAUACCACACAUGCUGGAAGAAUAUGUGUGUCCAGUGCAUCCAGUGUCCAAGUUUUGUGUCCAAAAUCUAUGUGUCCCAAGUAUCCGGGGCCAGGGCCAGUAUUGCCAUUUACACUUUCGACAUUCGUUUUUUUUUGGGGGGGGGGGGGGCAAUGAAACCGCGAUUAACGUCCUGGAUAUUUUCCGCCCCAAUACCAAAUGACACUGCGUGUCAAACCUGGUGAAAAAAAUAAAACCAUCCUGCUUUCCAUGCCAAGGUUAUGACAUGGGGGAGAAGGACCAAGGGAGAAAUUCGGUCAGAAACUCAGUCUAGCGACGCCAAGGAGACCAUAACGUUUGCCGGUUGAUUUUCUCUUAAAUGUUAACAAAGAUAUGUGAAAAGUUGUUUAAAUGGCUGUCUUUUUUUGCAUGGUGCUCAUGUACAAAUCCACAUGAAACCAAAAGGCAUCGCGCACACGAUCCCUACUGGGAUAAAACUUCCGCGAUUUUCUGGAAAAGUGCACGCGACUGGGGUACAAAUAAAAGAUGCUAACACAGCGUCGGAAGACCAGAAUUAUUUCUUCUCGGAAAGACUCCAUCUACCACCAAACCCAUAUAUCACUGCCCGCCCCGAUCAGCGGAUGCAAAGUUGCCAUUGGAAUAGCUGCAGUCUGAGACCGUUUCUACAAACACCAGCCGUUAUUUGUUUUCUUCGAGUAACUAGCCGUGUGUACAUUGGUAGACCAUGUCGGGCCUCAAUUAAAAAUGCUUCCCCACAUCGAAAUACUUCUUAUCUGAGAAAAUAGUCUUUGGCCGCGAGUCAACAUGUUUGAUCAAUAUUCGCCUAAACUACAGCUGUUCGGAGAAGAAUACGGCUGAAAUUUGUACAAAUUGUUUUAGGUUGUAGUUCUUGCUGCAGAAUCUUCACUCGCGCUCAGACAACCGCUUGAUGGUAAAUGGCAAGUGUGGUGAAAUGAUGUAUUUUCGAUAAGUUUCAAUGUCCAUAAGCGUGAUGGCUGUGCGCAGUGUUCACCCCUUGUUAUGGCUUGACCCAAUACAAUCUUUAAUGGUC